rnacentral:rRNA from 1 species
UACGGAGGGUGCGAGCGUUAAUCGGAAUAACUGGGCGUAAAGGGCACGCAGGCGGGCUUUUAAGUGAGAUGUGAAAUCCCCGGGCUUAACCUGGGAAUAGCAUUUCAGACUGGGGGUCUAGAGUACGUUAGGGAGGGGUAGAAUUCCACGUGUAGAGGUGAAAUGCGUAGAGAUGUGGAGGAAUACCGAAGGCGAAGGCAGCCCCUUGGGAAUUUAUUGACGCUCAUGUACGAAAGCGUGGGGAGCAAACAGG